rnacentral:lncRNA from 1 species
CCAUGCUUCUCAUGUACAAAUGGCUCUUUCCUUUCUCUUUCAGAAAAUGUACAAUGUGGCCACAGGCCUGCUUUUCCAAACUCGUCAUGGUUACCAUUUCAUGAACGGCUUCAAGUCCAGAAUGAUUAGACAUGGCCGUGGUAAAUGUCACUGUGGUCAUGGGAACGAGAACAUUCAGCAACAUCCACUCGGAGAGAAAGCAAGUGCAGAAGGUCAUUAUUCACAAAGAUUACAAACUGCCCCAGCUCGACAGUGACCUCUCUCUGCUUCUACUUGCCACACCAGUGCAAUUCAGCAAUUUCAAAAUGCCUGUCUGCCUGCAGGAGGAGGAGAGGACCUGGGACUGGUGUUGGAUGGCAGAGUGGGUAACGACCAAUGGGUAUGAGUAGAAUCCUGUUUCCUUCUGAAGCCCUUCCUAAUUGAUAUACUUAGGGCCAUCUUCCUUAACACCCCAGACCUGCUGGUUUCGGAGCCAUCGACCUCCUCAUUUCCACCGCAGAGGGCUGGAGGAGAUUCAGAAAAUCAGGGCAGGGCCCAGGAGAAGGUUCUUUCAGAGCAUGGCUUCAGCCUGGUUACUUCUGACACCAGCCAGGAGGAACAGACUUUUUCCCAUACAGCAGGUACCAGCAGAAGUACCUGAGCAAGAUCACCCUCAGCUCCUGCAGCCUCAGGGCACCCGAGUGUCCUGUCCACUGGGCAUUUGUUACGGACAAAGAUUUGUGUGGCCUUUCACUUUGCACGCUGAAGCUUAACCCUGGCUGCAACGGGACAGGGGGCCACCAAGGAAGUCAUUAAGGUUGACUGAGGUAUAGGGUGGUGCCCUGGUCGACAGGAUGGUGGCCUUAUGAGGACACUUAUAAGAUGGACGCCCACUUGUCCCCCGACCCCUCUGGCACAGGAACUGAGGAAGAGUCACAAGAGGACACAGCAGAUGUUGGUCACCUGCAGGCUAGGAAGAAAGCCCUCCCCAGGAACCUGGGUCUUGGGGACUUCCAGCCUCCACUGUGGGAAAGAAAUGUGUGUUGAUCAAUCCACCCAGUCUAUGGUGUUUUGUAACGGUGGCCAGAGCAGACAAAGACAGUAUGAAAACAUAACUUCUCCCCACAUGUUGAAGUUAUAACAGCAAUGCUUUCAACAAAUUGGGCAACGCUUUUGUGGUUCCCACUGGGCAAGUGUUGAAGCUUACAAAACACAAAGGCAUUUUUGAACGUCUGGUCUUUGAGGUAUAAUUUCUAUGCAGCAAAUUUACCACUUCAAGAUGGAUGGUUCUGUGAAUUCUGAUUAAUGUAAAUGGCUGUGACCAGACAUAGAACUUUGGCCGAAUGUGGUGCCUCAUGCCUGUAAUCCCAGCACUUUGGGAGGCUGAGGUGGGCGGAUCACCUGAGGUCAGGAGUUCAAGACCAGCCUGACCAAAAUGGUGAAAACCCGUCUCUACUAAAAAUACAAAAAUUAGCUGGGCGGGGAGCCAUGUGCCUGUAAUCUGUUAUUCAAGAGGCUGAGGCUGGAGAAUUGCUUGAACCUGGGAGGUGGAGGUUGCAGUAAGCCGAGAUCACACCAUUGCUCUCCAGCAUGGGCGACAAGAGUGAAACUCCGUUUCACAAAAAGAAAAGAAAAAGACAAGACAUAGAACAUUUUCAUCACCCCAAAACAUUCCCCUGUGCUUCUUAGUAAUCCAUCCUCUUCCUGGAACCCCAAACCCGGGCAACAACUCAUGCGUUCUCUGUGCUUGGAGUUUUGCCUUUCCCAGAAUGCCAUGGAAUCAUACGGUGUGCAGCGGCUCGUGUCUGGCUUCUCCAGCUCGGCGCGAUGCUCCUGAGAUCCGAGUUGUGCGUGUCAGUCGGCUGCUCCUCUUCGCUGCUGUGUAGCACCGCUAUUGUGUGAAUGCACCGCAGUUUGUUCAUCG